UGAAAGAAAAAGGUGGAGGAGGGGAAAGAAGAGGAAGAGGUUCCCAGCACUUCGCCCUUGUACAUUCCAGAGUGGCUGAACUCAGCCAGACGCAAUCCCGCCGCCACGCUGUCGCCACCGCUUCCGCUCCGCGCGGUGUAGCCGCAACCACCGACACCAGCGUCUCCGUCUCUGGUGCUGCGACCACCACCAGCGGCACCACUGCCGUCGCCACCGCUUCCGCUCCGCGCGGCGUAGGACGGCCGGCGGUGGAGGAGUGGCACACGCGGCCGCAGGGCCUGUACCCGCACCCGGACAUCAACCUCAAGAAGCUCCGCCAGCUCAUCCUCAAGGCCAAGCUCGCACCAUGCUACCUCCAUGAGCGCCCCAUCUGUUUCCUGACUUUAGAAAUUAGAAGUUUGAUUAUUUAGAAGAAGGGAGGCUAGUGGGUCUGCCUUACGUGCAUAAAAUAAAUCAAGAGUCGCAACAGCAGCCCCUGCACAGGCAAUAACAGCAAAAUAUUGACUGCAGAUUGUUGAUUGGCAUGACCGCCUGAGGCCCUAAGCAGAGGCACAGCCCAGGAGGUAGCAGCAGCGAGAAAAGGGAAUAUGAGCAAGCAAGGAAUUCAUAAAAAUGGUCAAAUGCUCUAAUACUUAAUUUAUGGCAGAAGUGCUAAGAUUCGAGGACAUGUAUUGGUUGGAAGGUUAACCGCGAAGAGAAUGGAGAGCAGAGCACUUUCAGAGCUAACCUGACGCAGCAGAAAUUCUCGCGAGAUGUUCAAGUCAUUUUCCAGCUGAAAGUCACAUUGAAAUUUUCACGAGAUUUGAGGCCUUGACUGGAUAAUUCUUCAUGAAAUAGAUUGACUUGUGGUACCACGGCAUUGUUUCAUCACUUUGGCAUGUUAGCAACACAAAAAAGCAAAAGAUUUGUCAUGCUGGAUGUGGUAGUUUUCAAUGACCUGUUUCAUCAGACAUAGAUUUGUAUUGCAAUGUUUCGGUUUUAACUAUAGCCAGCAUUUUUUCUUUCUAAGAUAAGAAGAGCGCCUUUUGUUGUUGAUUCAAAUUCCAUGUGCCUUUUUUUCACAUCUACAUGCAGAAUAUUCACAUUUUUAUGUUUGAAAAAUUGACUUCAGGAGUAUAUGAGACCUUGGAGUUAAGGGAUGGAAGAUCUGAUUAUCUUGGCAAAGGUAUUCUUAAGGUUAGUUCACCUGCCUAUUUUCCCAUGCAAUGUGAGGGUAUUAUACUAGCUAUAUAUGCCAUGCACCAUCGUCAUGCAAUAUAAUUUAAUGUAGUAUAAAUCAGCUGGGUCGAUACUAGAACAUUGCAGGGUUCAUGCAAGAUAAUUUAAUAGAAAUCAUCAUGUGUAUCCACCUUGUAUCUGCCAUAAAAUUGAUUGACGAAAGCUAUUUGAAGCAUAUACUUUCAUCUUGCACAAUAAAGAACGACCUGAACUUCAGUUGGAGUAUAAGAGACAAUUCAGCGAUUUUUGCCCUCGCCGCCACCCAGAUUCCGACCAACGCCUCCGCUCCCAGAUCCUUCGAGCGCCUCCGCCCUCCGCGCGUCCUCACCGCCGCCACAGCCACCUGAUUCCCCUUCCUCUCCCGGUCGUCGCGAUGUGGGUGCACUAGCUCCCAGGAAUGUGGGAUCUCCCUCACUGCAGGCAUGCACGCGCGAGCUAACACCCCCGAACUAAUCGCUCUUGGUGGUGCCAUGGCGAAUGCAGGAUUUGAUACUCAUCUGGAAGCUCCCAGGAAUGUUAGGUUGCUGCCUGAUUUCCCAUAUGGCAUAUCCAAUACUGAGUUGUGAGGCAAUCUUUCAAGGCUGCAGGACAUUGCAAAACAUAUUUAUAUCCCAAUACAAAAAAGAUGUUUUCAACAGAAAUCUUGACUAAUCUAACAUGAAGCGUACUGAAAAUAUUUUGUACAGUAGCAAAUAAUGAGUAUACAGUUAAUUUUUCCCUUAUUUGUAACCAUGUGAAAGAGCCUGUUAUUCCAUUUUAUGCAAAAAAUCUAGCAAAGUUCAAAGGUGAUCUGAUUGUCGGAUUGACCAUUGCAAUUCUCUGCAUUCCUCAUGUAUCAAGGUUGACCUCAUACUCUCGAGGAAGAAAGAAAUGCCCAGGUGCUUGCAUGAAUUCCUCAUGCAUACUAGGAACGUUCACUACCUGUUCCAUCAAUUGCCUAAGUGAGUUUGAAUUUGCCAAUGCCCCAAGUGAAGUGGUUAAUAUGGUGGAACCGUUGUUAGUAUAUUUUAUAUGUUGAUCAGUUAUGGGCAAAAAAAGGACUGAUAGAUAUAGAAUUGAUUAAAAGGUGGAGUAUUAAUUCUGUUUUGUAUAUGGUUCGUCUCCUGAUGCUUCCUCUCUUAUUCUCCUUUUACCACAGUUUUCCAGUUUUGCAAAGCAAAUGGUCAUUACUUUGUAUGGAGCCUAGGCAUCCCGGGGCAAUACCUAUUUGUGUUUUGUGGCUAUGAAAAAACAUGAUGUGACCUAAAGCAUAAUUCGUUGAGUCUAGAUGGCAUAUAGAGCUAACACAUUUACUAUAAUAUAUUCAUUUGUGUGCAGCAGAUGAAAUCCAUUUGGUUCUUGAAGUUCAUUUACAUAUUAUUGGUGUCUUUCUCUUCAUAUGUCUGCAAUUAAAAAUUGAGAUGUUAGUAUUAAAUAAUCAGUAAUUUAGAUUCUCUUUCAAUUCCCCUGUCAAACCCAUUCUACUGAUUAGCUACAACGCAGUUUUAUUUUGACCAACCAAUCUAACAGGCAAUGUCUCUGAAAAGUAGAAACCAUGUUCUUUUCUAUUGCUGAAUGCAAGUAUCCUUUCUGCACAAUAUAUGCAUGCACUCAUUGGCUGCCUGGUGCUCGUCUGGGACAACCACCGGACAAGCAGUCGUAUUAUUUGUUAGAUUCAGUAUCAUCACUCUUCUGCUGUUUUAAUUUGUUUGAGUUCAUCAUUUUACAAGCCAAAUUUCUUGGGAUAACUGGUCAUUGAGCAGUCAUCCUGGAUUCCUCGUAUACAGCGCUUUUUUCUGUUUUAUUUUUCACCCUUUUUGUUACCUUCAGCUUCCAACAUACAAGCAGUCAAGUAUGCUAAGGAGCAAGCUGCUCUACGCCAUCAGCUACAAUACUGGGUUUGAACUCUAGUAGACAGUAGCGGCUCUAGAAAAUUUCCAGUGGAUGUGCACGAGUAUAUCGGAGUACUAGAACAUGCAGAAUUUAGCGGCUGGCUUUUGCUAUAUUUUUUCACACGGCGAUGUUCAGGUGUUAAAGACGUUAGCAACAUCGCAGAGGCGAAGGGGCCUGGUAUCUCUGUGGUCUCAUGUUUUGAUUUAAACAAAGCUACUUCUUUAUAACUGAACUGGUGCAUUUGCAUGGUAGUCUGACAACAAGAACUUGUAAGCUAGCUAGCUCUGUAUGUAGCUGCCUAUAGCUUUGCGUAUGUAAUAGAAGUUCCUAUACAAUCUGUUAAACAGUUUGUAAAAAAAAAAAAAAAACAUAGUGGUUAUGCCAAAUCGUAGCGAUAGUGCGCCAGUACAUGCUACCUUGCCUGAUCAAGUGGUGCAUGGAGCAGCAGUCUUAUACUCUUACUGUGACGAUGGUUCUACUUAUGUUCGAUAUGUGUGCAAGUAAUCUUGAACUCCACUCAGA